rnacentral:rRNA from 1 species
UACGAAGGGGGCUAGCGUUGUUCGGAUUUACUGGGCGUAAAGCGCACGUAGGCGGAUCGUUAAGUCGGGGGUGAAAUCCUGGAGCUCAACUCCAGAACUGCCUUCGAUACUGGCGAUCUUGAGUCCGGAAGAGGUGAGUGGAACUCCUAGUGUAGAGGUGGAAUUCGUAGAUAUUAGGAAGAACACCAGUGGCGAAGGCGGCUCACUGGUCCGGUACUGACGCUGAGGUGCGAGAGCGUGGGGAGCAAACAGG